GCCAGAAUAGCUCAGAUGGGAGAGCGUUAGACUGAAGAUCUCUGGUUCAAUCCAGUGUUUCGGCA